AAAGACAAAAGUGGACCUGCCUGUUCCCAGAAAACGCUGGCCUAGAUGAGACCAAAAAAGAACCUCCAGAACUGUGGAGGGUUGCUGGAUACAUCACUGGGCAGGCCGAUGAUGUCGGCGUGUCCUGCAGCCGUGGCCAAGCACAGAGGUGUCAUGCCGUUCUCCGUGGUUCCAUCUACGGUAGCGCCCAUUUCCAGAAGCAAGGCCACCAUCUCCAGGUGUCCCAGGUGGGCAUGAACUGCCAAAAUAGGGGCGCGUCCGACGACCUCAGUGCACCAGGUGACACUCGCUCCACCUAACAUCAACAGCCGACUGACCUGUAGAGCAAAGAUUUGUCGCUGCUCUCCACAGGCCAAAACCAGCGAUGUAAUACCUGCAGCUGCCUCUGGGCCGAAGAACUUGAUUUGAGAUUCAGCAUUAAGUUGAUGUCUGACUUCCUCUUCCAUGCAUUCAAUUCAGAAGCACUGUGCAACCCUGCUGGCUAUCAUGAUGCAGAGGCUGGGACACACCUGCCCUUCCUUUGAAUUCCACUUCCUCCAUGUGGUCUGUAGCUCCUGUUGCUGCCCUAUAACCCCUGCUCCCACAGCCACACUGCUUUGACCAAGGAUGGAAAUUCAGGGUGGACGUGGGGCUUUGAGCAGGAGGCCCAUGGCUAUGUCCUGUAAUGCCCCCAGGAGCAGGAGCACGGGCAGGACUCGGACCUCGACUGGACAGGGUCCCACAGGGGCUGUUGCUGGAGUUGUAGUGUGGUGAAGAAACCCGAGUGAGACAAGGCAGCAGAAUUGCAGUGGCUCGCAGUUACCGUACUCUCCUUUGUACCAGACCCUCAUCUAUCAUCUGCAGGACAACCCACAUUCCUCAUAUGAACCUCACCAUCUCUGUGAAUCUGGAGCUUAGGUGUGGAGAUGAUGCUGAGAAAAUGGGUCAAGGAUGGAGCAGCGAAAAGGUGCGGAGAUGGAGACGCCGUCUCCCAAGACACACGUGCAUCUCUACCAGAAAAAUGGUUGUAGUUUUCUGAGCAGCAUGCUAGCAAACACCACGGCUGGUAUUAUUCAAGGUUCUCUAGAACCUCCAUGAGCUUCAAGGAGCAUUUGACCUUCAACACGAUGUCUCCAGUUUUCCAAUAUUCACCAGGACAGGAGAGACCCCUUGAACAACCUAACAUCCAUGAGAGUUGUUUGAAAAUAAACCUCCAUGAGCUUCAAGGAGUAUACAGGCAUUUGACUUUCAACACAAUAUCUCCAAUAUUCACCAGGACAGGAGAGGGCUCUAGGAGAACAACCUAACAUCCAUGACAGUUGUUUGAAAAUAAACCUCCAUGAGCUUCAAGGAGUAUACAGGCAUUUGACCUUCAACACAAUGUCUCCAAUAUUCACCAGGACAGGAGAGACCUCUAGGAGAACAACCUAACAUCCAUGACAGUUGUUUGAAAAUGUAUGAGAGCUGAGAUUGAGUCAAAGAACCAGUUGCUGUGGCUUUAAUGGAACCCGUAGUGAAUCCUGGUUUGAAGUAAUUAUGUGGAACCAGAUGGACCUCUAAACAAGUUGGACAUUGUGUAAAUGUCUUUGUACAAAUUGUAUUAUAAUUAAGUUCAAACUCUUGUUUUGCAAUAAAAACUAAGAAUUUAAAUUCAA